CAGUGGGGAAUAUUGGACAAUGGGCGAAAGCCUGAUCCAGCCAUGCCGCGUGUGUGAAGAAGGUCUUCGGAUUGUAAAGCACUUUAAGUUGGGAGGAAGGGUUGUAGAUUAAUACUCUGCAAUUUUGACGUUACCGACAGAAUAAGCACCGGCUAACUCUGUGCCAGCAGCCGCGGUAAUACAGAGGGUGCAAGCGUUAAUCGGAAUUACUGGGCGUAAAGCGCGCGUAGGUGGUUUGUUAAGUUGGAUGUGAAAUCCCCGGGCUCAACCUGGGAACUGCAUUCAAAACUGACUGACUAGAGUAUGGUAGAGGGUGGUGGAAUUUCCUGUGUAGCGGUGAAAUGCGUAGAUAUAGGAAGGAACACCAGUGGCGAAGGCGACCACCUGGACUAAUACUGACACUGAGGUGCGAAGC
rnacentral:rRNA from 1 species